CCUGGUGUAAAGGUUCCUCCCUGAAUUACUGGAAUGUUAUAAUGUUUUUCGGUCAGACGAACAGGUUUUUCCCCGCGAGCGAGCAUUCUGCUGGCACAUGGAGGCUUUCGUUAAGAGGGGAAAUGAUUUCUCAUAGACGUUUGAUCUGCUUUGAACUGAUGUAUGACAUCACAGGAUGCGUUUGAUGCAUCUAGUCGCCCACAUCCAAAUUUUGAACACAUGACCUAAACACUACAGGUUAGUCUAUAUUGACCAGAAAUGAAAGGAAUUUGCUCGUCACAAAACAAACUCUAAAGGCUGAACAUCAUUCGAUCGCUCAUCUUCAGUUCACGUGCCACGAAGAGGUUGAUGUUCCGUGUGCUUUCUCAUGGUGUCUGGUUCAACUACCAUGACAAGGACGUUAUUUGUUCCCAGAAUUAUUUCAGCUGAAUCCAAACACAGAAGCUACAUGACCCAAAGCGCCACCUGAAGACGGAACAGCUGCUAAAGCUCAAGCAGAAGUGUGUGAAUGUUCAUGGUAUUUAAUCAUAAAGCUGUGUUUUGCUUCAUAACAGCUGAAGACUUCAGACUGACGAUUGUUACAUUCCUGAGUCCUUCCUCUACAUUUAUCUUCUCGUCUUCACAGAUGAUUUGUGGUGACAAAAUGACAAAUCUGCUGUCUCCUUCUUUACCUUGCUGAUUUAUAUUCACGUCACGCAACACACACUCUUACUGUACAAAUAAACUACACUGUGUGUGUGUGUGUGUGUUUACGUACCGGCUC